rnacentral:rRNA from 1 species
AUUGAACGCUGGCGGCAGGCUUAACACAUGCAAGUCGAGCGGGGGAAGGUAGCUUGCUACCGGACCUAGCGGCGGACGGGUGAGUAAUGCUUAGGAAUCUGCCUAUUAGUGGGGGACAACAUCUCGAAAGGGAUGCUAAUACCGCAUACGUCCUACGGGAGAAAGCAGGGGAUCUUCGGACCUUGCGCUGAUAGAUGAGCCUAAGUCGGAUUAGCUAGUUGGUGGGGUAAAGGCCUACCAAGGCGACGAUCUGUAGCGGGUCUGAGAGGAUGAUCCGCCACACUGGGACUGAGACACGGCCCAGACUCCUACGGGAGGCAGCAGUGGGGAAUAUUGGACAAUGGGGGGAACCCUGAUCCAGCCAUGCCGCGUGUGUGAAGAAGGCCUUAUGGUUGUAAAGCACUUUAAGCGAGGAGGAGGCUACUCUAGUUAAUACCUAGGGAUAGUGGACGUUACUCGCAGAAUAAGCACCGGCUAUCUCUGUGCCAGCCGCCGCUGUAA